rnacentral:rRNA from 1 species
UAGGUAGUUGGUGAGGUAACGGCUCACCAAGCCGACGAUGGGUAGCUGGUCUGAGAGGAUGGUCAGCCACACUGGGACUGAGACACUGCCCAGACUCCUACGGGAGGCUGCAGUCGAGAAUCUUGGGCAAUGCGCGAAAGCGUGACCCAGCAAUACCGCGUGUAUGAUGAAGGCCCUCGGGUCGUAAAGUACUGUCUCCCGUGACGAAAUUUGACGGUAACGGGGAAGGAAGCCACGGCUAACUACGUGCCAGCAGCCGCGGUAAUACGUAGGUGGCGAGCGUUGUUCGGAUUUAUUGGGCGUAAAGGGUCUGUAGGAGGUUCGUUAAAUACGGGGUGAAAUCCCGAAGCUCAACUUCGGAAUUGCCUUGUAGACUGAUGGACUGGAGUACCGGAGAGGUAAGCGGAAUACCAGGUGUAGCGGUGGAAUGCGUAGAUAUCUGGUAGAACACCAAAAGCGAAGGCAGCUUGCUGGACGGAAACUGACUCUGAAAGACGAAAGCAUGGGGAGCAAACAGGAUUAGAUACCCUGGUAGUCCAUGCCGUAAACGUUGUCAACUUGAUGUGGGGGGAUUUAGUCCUCCCCGUAUCGAAGCUAACGCGAUAAGUGA